rnacentral:lncRNA from 1 species
UUUUUAACGGAAAAGAAUAAUAUAGUCGCUAAGAAAGACAAGCCAGUAGAUUAAUAAUCCCUUUGAUUAUUGAUAUUUUGGUCUAAAACAGAGAUAUUACGAUCAUGUGAUUCAGUAACAUUCAUUACUUAGAUUUUGAAGCUAGUGUCUAGAACUACAUACAAAGAUACAAUUUGUUGGCCUGAUGAUUUUUAAUUUUACCGCUAUCAUCCAAUCUAAUUAAAUUAAUGAAUGGAUCAGAUAAAUUAAUUGUAGAAAAAAAACAUAUAGUUAUUUUAUGUGUAGAGUCAAAAAAUGUAGUAAAAAAAAAAAUACCACUAAAACUAUUGGAGGAAAUAUUUCUCAAAGUUUAUUGAAUUUUGCAUACAACUGAUUUCUUUUUAAUCAUUUACAAUAUCUUUGAAUCAGUUUUUUUCCUAAAACUUGAUACUAUCUUUGAAUCGG